rnacentral:rRNA from 1 species
UACGGAGGGUGCAAGCGUUAAUCGGAAUUACUGGGCGUAAAGCGCACGCAGGGGGCUGAGAAAGUCGAUUGUGAAAGCCCUGGGCUUAACCUGGGAAUUGCAGUCGAAACUACUCGGCUAGAGUAUGGGAGAGGGUAGUGGAAUUCCCGUUGUAGCGGUGAAAUGCGUAGAUAUCGGGAGGAACAUCAGUGGCGAAGGCGGCUACCUGGCCCAAUACUGACACUCAGGUGCGACAGCGUGGGGAGCAAACAGG